rnacentral:lncRNA from 1 species
GCUAUUUCUUUGGGCCGCUCCCGCAGCAUAUGGAGGUUCUCAGGCUAGGGGUCGAAUCAGAGCCGUAACCACCGGCCUACGCCAGAGCCACAGCAACGCGGGAUCCGAGCCGCGUCUGCAACCUACACCACAGCUCACGGCAACGCCGGAUCCUUAACCCACUGAGCAAGGGCAGGGACCGAACCCGCAACCUCAUGGUUCCUAGUUGGAUUCGUUAACCACUGUGCCACGACGGGAACUCCCUUUUUUUUUAAAUAAUGAUUUUUUUUUUUUGUCUUUUGUCCUUUGAGGGCUGCACCCUUGGCAUACGGAGGUUUCCAGGCUAGGGGUCUAAUCGGAGCUGUAGACGCCAGCCUACACCACAGCCACAGCCAAACCAGAUCUGAGCCAUGUCUGCGACCUACACCACAGCUCACGGCAACGCCGGAUCCUUAACCCACUGAGCAAGGCCAGGGAUCGAACCUGCAACCUCAUGGUUCCUAGUCAGAUUCGUUUUCGCUGCGCCAUGACGGGAACUCCUAAAUAACGAUUUUUAUUUUCCAUUAUAGCUGGUUUACAGUGUUCUGUCAAUUUUCCAUUGUACAACAUGGUGACCCAGUUACACAUACAUGUAUACAUUCCUUUUUCUCAUAUCAUCAUGCUCCAUCAUAACUCUCUGGGCAAGACCUGCAAAGGCUGAGUUAGAAGAGGAGCUUGCGGGCCUGAGAUGCUGUACCCUCUGCAGCUGCAAGGGCCUCCUGUCUCUGUGGGCACUGUGUAGGGGCAACGCUGACCAAGCCCUCUGCCAUUGAACUUGGUCCUUAUGCCACAGCAGGGCUAGGAUUAGGGUGGGGUGAGUGAGGCACUUGCCUUGGGUGUGAAAUUUAAGGAACUGCCCCAAACUCAGUCAGCAAGAAAAUCCCAUUUUAAUGUGAUAUUUAAAGAAGAGAAAUCCAUGCGAAACAUCCAUCACAAACACACUUUUAAACCAAGACAGGCUCUAAGUCCCCACUUGCACAAACACCCCAUCACCCGUGCCUCGCCCUAACCCUGGCCCUGCCUCUGGCGAAACUUGAUUUACAAAAACAGACCGCCUGGGAGCUGCAGUUUGCUAUUUGAUUUUUAAAAAUAUUACAUGACAGUAUUAUUUAUCUUGAUUAGGAGGUAUUUUUGUGCCCCUCCCCUGAAAUUUUGCUCCAAGGCGUGUACUUCACUCGCCUCACCCUAAUUCCUGCAUUGCGGACCACAGCCCUGGGUUUGAAUUUCCAAGCUGUCCCUUCCUUGCUGUGUGACCAUCAGCAGCGCCUGGACCUUUCCUUCCCUGCAUCCCUGCAUCCCCCAGCCGAUGGGGAUAAUAGUGACCAGAGUGCCUGGCACUGAGAUGACACUCAGUCGAAGGCCUCUGCUAUUAUUCCCGACUCCUCAUUCCGAUCCACUGCUCAGCCACCUCUCACCCUGCCCCUUCCUCUCUAGAGCCCAGGCGCAGCCCCUCUUCGGUCCCCAGAUUGCUCCUUUGUACAUUAGAGGAGUUGGACCAGCCUGAUAUCUGGGGAGAUUUUACAGGAUCCUGAAACCUAGAUCUCACGACAUUGAACAGAAAGGACCAAAGUCCUCCAGGUGAUGCUGCAGAGGCUGAAGGCUCACUUAGCUUCUCUCAGCCCUGGACCUGCAGGCUCCAAGGCCUGUGUUCUUUCCACCUGGUGGACCCUUUGUGCCCCACCCAGGCUGGGAAGGAGAAAAGUCAAGGUUCUGGGAACUGGACCUCGGGCCUUGCCAACCCCCCAGGGCCUUCUGAGCCACUGGGAUGCAGCCCAAGAACAGAGCCGUCAGGGACUCUGCCUUUCCUCCACAAUCACAAGUGGGGGAUCCUCCCCCGCACCCCUCUUGGACAGUGAUUUGCUCUGGAGAAGGUUCCUGGAGGUCUGCUCUGGUCCCUGCUCUGUAUUGGAGGCAACCCUCGGCCUCUUCGAGGCUAGUGGGGGCUCAGCCAGAUGAUGGUUGUGUGAGAACAUAGUGUCCAGACACUGCGGCCGAUUCCCCUGGGGAUGAGCCCUGGGCUCAGAGUCAGGGUGCCAGGAUUCUACAGCAGCUCCAGAAUUUCUACAGAGGAGGGGCUUAGGGUUAGUCAUCUGGUUGAAAGGGGGGCUGGAGGUAUUUGCACAGCAUAGCCUGUGAAAACACCCACGGUGGGUGGGAUAGUUUAGGGGUCCUUGGCAUGGCCCCUGCUUCAAGCCCCGUCUCUGUUCUUGUCUUGCUAUGUGACCUUGGGUAAGUUGGUGUCCCGACCUUCUGUGGAAUGGUUGUAGGUUAGGCUUGUACAUUACUGAGUGAAAGAAAUGAUGGGGCGAGUCUUUGUGGGGAUGGUUGGGGACUCAUCCUUUGAGGGUGUCUAGGGUACAGGAAAGUGGAAAGGAAGCAGGAGGUGCUCUUCUGCCCAGGGCUGUGGCUUCCUGAUGAAGGUCACUGGGAGUAUCUAAUAAUAUUAUUAAUAUUAUCAUAGCAACUGAUAUUUACAGACUGCUUACUAUAACCAGACAUGGCUCUAAGCAUUAUAUACGUGAUUUAAUUGACCUGUUACAAAUCCCGGGGAAGUAGGUUCCAUUAUCUUCAAUUUGCAAAAGGGGCAACGAGGCUUUCAGACCU